rnacentral:lncRNA from 1 species
CCCCCAUUGGCCGCCCCGUUGGCGGCGCCGUUGGCCGUUAACCCCCCUCCGCAGGUAGGAGGAGCCGCGGCGCGGGCCGGCCGCCUCCCAUUGGCCCUCCGCGGCGCAAGCCCCGCCUGUUCCUCACAGCCCCGCCCCCUCCGCCGCCAUUUUGAAGCCACCCCCGAGGAGGGGGUCCUGCCCGGCCUCAACAUGGCGCCGGGGGGGCGGCGGCGGCGAGGGGUGGCGGCGGCGCUGCGCUGGUACCAGAUCCCGCUGUCCUCCGCCCGCGUGCCGCGCUCCGGCCUCUUCAGCUACAGCUUCCAGGCCAGCCUGCGCUCCUACCAGCAGCUGCGCGUUCAAAAGCGCCUGCGCGUGGGCCGCCCCGUGGCCCCGCCGCCCCCCGGGCUGCUGGCGCCGUGGCCGCCGCCACCACCGUCACCGCCCGGCCUGCUGCAGGCACCGGGCGCGCCUGGGGGGACAGCCCCGCGGCGCCCCAAGGAGCCUCCCAGCACCCAGAGGAGGCUGAGCAGGGGACGGCGGCCACGCCGCCCUGCUCGGCCCCGUGGCGAGCAGCGGGACGCGGCACCGCGCCGGGAGGAACCGGGCCGUUCCCAGCACAGCCCGGUGCUGCUGGGGGUGGCCGCGGCGAGCCCCGGGGCUGACAGCAGCCAUGGGCAGCACACCACGGCCAGGACAGCACCGCAGGAAGCAGGGGAUGCAGCAGGGGACGCGACGACAGGACGGGAGUCCCCCGGGGACAGCGAGGACGACCUGAUCCCGCUGCGGGAGCUGCUGCUGUUGGGCAGCGCGCCCCCGAGCCCCACAGAGCCCCACGAGCAGACCCCGCGGCCGUGCCCGGAGCCGCUCGCCAACAGCCUGGAGGCGCUGCUGCGGGAGAAGAGGGAGCAGUGCCUCGCGCCCACACUGCCACGGGUGCCCGUGGAUGACGGCAGCCUGCAGGAGCCCCCGGGCGACGCCGCGCAGCUCCCGGAGGAGCAGAGGUACGGCUGCGAGCCGGCAGGUACCCCUCCUGGGGAGGGGGGGGGG